AUCCAGACUCCUACGGGAGGCAGCAGUGGGGAAUAUUGCGCAAUGGGCGAAAGCCUGACGCAGCGACGCCGCGUGAGGGAUGAAGGUUCUCGGAUCGUAAACCUCUGUCAGAAGGGAAGAAAUUAUAUCAUGCUAAUCAGUGGUGUAUUGACGGUACCUUCAAAGGAAGCACCGGCUAACUCCGUGCCAGCAGCCGCGGUAAUACGGAGGGCGCGAGCGUUAAUCGGAAUUACUGGGCGUAAAGCGCGCGUAGGCUGUUGUGUAAGUUGGGGGUGAAAUCCCACGGCUCAACCGUGGAACAGCCCUUGAUACUGCGCGACUUGAAUCCGGGAGAGGGUGGCGGAAUUCCAGGUGUAGGAGUGAAAUCCGUAGAUAUCUGGAGGAACAUCAGUGGCGAAGGCGGCCACCUGGACCGGUAUUGACGCUGAGGCGCGAAAGCGUGGGGAGCAAACAGGAUUAGAUACCCUCGUA
rnacentral:rRNA from 1 species